CCCUUAGAUGUUCUGGGCCGCACGCGCGCUACACUGAUGCAUUCAACGAGUGUACCUUGGCCGAGAGGCCUGGGCAAUCUUUUGAACGUGCAUCGUGAUAGGGAUAGAUUAUUGCAAUUAUUAAUCUUGAACGAGGAAUUCCUAGUAAACGCAGAUCAUCAAUCUGCAUUGAUUACGUCCCUGCCCUUUGUACACACCGCCCGUCGCUGCUACCGAUUGGUUGAUCUGGUGAAUUAUUCGGACUGCCGGCUGAAGGGGUUUCCUCAUCUGCCAGCGGAAAGUCUUGUUAACCCUAUCAACUAGAGGAAGCAGAAGUCGUAACA
rnacentral:rRNA from 1 species